CGAUUUCCGAAUGGGGAAACCCAGUGUGUUUCGACACACUAUCAUUAACUGAAUCCAUAGGUUAAUGAGGCGAACCGGGGGAACUGAAACAUCUAAGUACCCCGAGGAAAAGAAAUCAACCGAGAUUCCCCCAGUAGCGGCGAGCGAACGGGGAGGAGCCCAGAGCCUGAAUCAGUGUGUGUGUUAGUGGAAGCGUCUGGAAAGGCGCGCGAUACAGGGUGACAGCCCCGUACACAAAAAUGCACAUAUUGUGAGCUCGAUGAGUAGGGCGGGACACGUGGUAUCCUGUCUGAAUAUGGGGGGACCAUCCUCCAAGGCUAAAUACUCCUGACUGACCGAUAGUGAACCAGUACCGUGAGGGAAAGGCGAAAAGAACCCCGGCGAGGGGAGUGAAAAAGAACCUGAAACCGUGUACGUACAAGCAGUGGGAGCCUCUUUAUGGGGUGACUGCGUACCUUUUGUAUAAUGGGUCAGCGACUUAUAUUCUGUAGCAAGGUUAACCGAAUAGGGGAGCCGAAGGGAAACCGAGUCUUAACUGGGCGUUAAGUUGCAGGGUAUAGACCCGAAACCCGGUGAUCUAGCCAUGGGCAGGUUGAAGGUUGGGUAACACUAACUGGAGGACCGAACCGACUAAUGUUGAAAAAUUAGCGGAUGACUUGUGGCUGGGGGUGAAAGGCCAAUCAAACCGGGAGAUAGCUGGUUCUCCCCGAAAGCUAUUUAGGUAGCGCCUCGUGAAUUCAUCUCCGGGGGUAGAGCACUGUUUCGGCAAGGGGGUCAUCCCGACUUACCAACCCGAUGCAAACUGCGAAUACCGGAGAAUGUUAUCACGGGAGACACACGGCGGGUGCUAACGUCCGUCGUGAAGAGGGAAACAACCCAGACCGCCAGCUAAGGUCCCAAAGUCAUGGUUAAGUGGGAAACGAUGUGGGAAGGCCCAGACAGCCAGGAUGUUGGCUUAGAAGCAGCCAUCAUUUAAAGAAAGCGUAAUAGCUCACUGGUCGAGUCGGCCUGCGCGGAAGAUGUAACGGGGCUAAACCAUGCACCGAAGCUGCGGCAGCGACACUAUGUGUUGUUGGGUAGGGGAGCGUUCUGUAAGCCUGUGAAGGUGGCCUGUGAGGGUUGCUGGAGGUAUCAGAAGUGCGAAUGCUGACAUAAGUAACGAUAAAGCGGGUGAAAAGCCCGCUCGCCGGAAGACCAAGGGUUCCUGUCCAACGUUAAUCGGGGCAGGGUGAGUCGACCCCUAAGGCGAGGCCGAAAGGCGUAGUCGAUGGGAAACAGGUUAAUAUUCCUGUACUUGGUGUUACUGCGAAGGGGGGACGGAGAAGGCUAUGUUGGCCGGGCGACGGUUGUCCCGGUUUAAGCGUGUAGGCUGGUUUUCCAGGCAAAUCCGGAAAACCAAGGCUGAGGCGUGAUGACGAGGCACUACGGUGCUGAAGCGACAAAUGCCCUGCUUCCAGGAAAAGCCUCUAAGCAUCAGGUAACAUCAAAUCGUACCCCAAACCGACACAGGUGGUCAGGUAGAGAAUACCAAGGCGCUUGAGAGAACUCGGGUGAAGGAACUAGGCAAAAUGGUGCCGUAACUUCGGGAGAAGGCACGCUGAUAUGUAGGUGAAGCGACUUGCUCGUGGAGCUGAAAUCAGUCGAAGAUACCAGCUGGCUGCAACUGUUUAUUAAAAACACAGCACUGUGCAAACACGAAAGUGGACGUAUACGGUGUGACGCCUGCCCGGUGCCGGAAGGUUAAUUGAUGGGGUUAGCGGUAACGCGAAGCUCUUGAUCGAAGCCCCGGUAAACGGCGGCCGUAACUAUAACGGUCCUAAGGUAGCGAAAUUCCUUGUCGGGUAAGUUCCGACCUGCACGAAUGGCGUAAUGAUGGCCAGGCUGUCUCCACCCGAGACUCAGUGAAAUUGAACUCGCUGUGAAGAUGCAGUGUACCCGCGGCAAGACGGAAAGACCCCGUGAACCUUUACUAUAGCUUGACACUGAACAUUGAGCCUUGAUGUGUAGGAUAGGUGGGAGGCUUUGAAGUGUGGACGCCAGUCUGCAUGGAGCCGACCUUGAAAUACCACCCUUUAAUGUUUGAUGUUCUAACGUUGGCCCGUAAUCCGGGUUGCGGACAGUGUCUGGUGGGUAGUUUGACUGGGGCGGUCUCCUCCUAAAGAGUAACGGAGGAGCACGAAGGUUGGCUAAUCCUGGUCGGACAUCAGGAGGUUAGUGCAAUGGCAUAAGCCAGCUUGACUGCGAGCGUGACGGCGCGAGCAGGUGCGAAAGCAGGUCAUAGUGAUCCGGUGGUUCUGAAUGGAAGGGCCAUCGCUCAACGGAUAAAAGGUACUCCGGGGAUAACAGGCUGAUACCGCCCAAGAGUUCAUAUCGACGGCGGUGUUUGGCACCUCGAUGUCGGCUCAUCACAUCCUGGGGCUGAAGUAGGUCCCAAGGGUAUGGCUGUUCGCCAUUUAAAGUGGUACGCGAGCUGGGUUUAGAACGUCGUGAGACAGUUCGGUCCCUAUCUGCCGUGGGCGCUGGAGAACUGAGGGGGGCUGCUCCUAGUACGAGAGGACCGGAGUGGACGCAUCACUGGUGUUCGGGUUGUCAUGCCAAUGGCACUGCCCGGUAGCUAAAUGCGGAAGAGAUAAGUGCUGAAAGCAUCUAAGCACGAAACUUGC
rnacentral:rRNA from 1 species